ensembl:rRNA 5S_rRNA 5S ribosomal RNA
GUCUACGGCCAUACCACCCUGAACGCGCCUGAUCUCGUCUGAUCUCGAAAACUAGGUGGGUAGUGGGUCUGAUCACUGAGACAACGUAAGGGCAGGAGAGGGUGACGACUAAGCUGUAUGUU